GACGAACGCUGGCGGCGUGCUUAACACAUGCAAGUCGAACGGAAAGGCCCUGCUUUUGUGGGGUGCUCGAGUGGCGAACGGGUGAGUACACCGUGGGUACCUUGCCUUUGACUUGGGGUUAACUUAAGGAACCGGGGGCAAUUACCGGAAAGAGGUUCCGGCGCCUGGGUGGGGGUUGGAAAGUUUCGGCGGUUGGGGAUGGACUCGCGGCUUAUCAGCUUGUUGGUGGGGUAGUGGCUUACCAAGGCUUUGACGGGUAGCCGGCCUGAGAGGGUGACCGGCCACAUUGGGACUGAGAUACGGCCCAGACUCCUACGGGAGGCAGCAGUGGGGAAUAUUGCACAAUGGGCGGAAGCCUGAUGCAGCAACGCCGCGUGCGGGAUGACGGCCUUCGGGUUGUAAACCGCUUUCGCCUGUGACGAAGCGCGAGUGACGGUAAUGGGUAAAGAAGCACCGGCUAACUACGUG
rnacentral:rRNA from 1 species